rnacentral:piRNA from 1 species
UUAGAUGGUUAGGUCACAUCAGGUGGCCAGU